rnacentral:tRNA from 1 species
AAAAAUUUAGUUAAAAUAUAACAUUAACUUGUCAAGUUAAAAUAAUUAAUAACUUAAUAAUUUUUA